GAUGAACGCUGGCGGCGUGCCUAAUACAUGCAAGUCGAGCGAACAGACGAGGAGCUUGCUCCUCUGACGUUAGCGGCGGACGGGUGAGUAACACGUGGAUAACCUACCUAUAAGACUGGGAUAACUUCGGGAAACCGGAGCUAAUACCGGAUAAUAUAUUGAACCGCAUGGUUCAAUAGUGAAAGACGGUUUUGAUGUCACUUAUAGAUGGAUCCGCGCCGCAUUAGCUAGUUGGUAAGGUAACGGCUUACCAAGGCGACGAUGCGUAGCCGACCUGAGAGGGUGAUCGGCCACACUGGAACUGAGACACGGUCCAGACUCCUACGGGAGGCAGCAGUAGGGAAUCUUCCGCAAUGGGCGAAAGCCUGACGGAGCAACGCCGCGUGAGUGAUGAAGGUCUUCGGAUCGUAAAACUCUGUUAUUAGGGAAGAACAAAUGUGUAAUUAACUAUGCACGUCUUGACGGUACCUAAUCAGAAAGCCACGGCUAACUACGUG
rnacentral:rRNA from 1 species